UACGUAGGGGGCUAGCGUUGUCCGGAAUCAUUGGGCGUAAAGCGCGUGUAGGCGGUCCGGUAAGUCCGCUGUGAAAGUCGAGGGCUCAACCCUCGAAUGCCGGUGGAUACUGUCGGGCUUGAGUACGGGAGAGGCGAGUGGAAUUCCUGGUGUAGCGGUGAAAUGCGUAGAUAUCGGAAGGAACACCUGUGGCGAAAGCGGCUCACUGGACCAUUACUGACGCUGAGGCACGAAAGCUAGGGGAGCAAACAGG
rnacentral:rRNA from 1 species